rnacentral:tRNA from 1 species
GGAGGGUUGUCCGAGUGGUCAAUGGUGCGAUACUCGAAAUAUCGUGUUUUACGAAAGUAAAGCCUGGAGUUCGAAUCUCCAACCCUUCGCCA